UACAGCUCCCAGCGUGCGGUGCGGCGCGGCCCUUGUGGCCGGCCGGUCGGGGUCACCGGCGCUCAGACCUCGGCCGGAGCUGAAGGGAGUGGAGCAGGCGGCGGCUAUGUUGUGCGUCCCGUGGUGGCGUGUCGGGGCGCGGCUGCGCGGCUUGCGCGGCGGGCUCCAGGCCCCCGCCGAAAGCGGUCGGCGGGGCGUGGUCUCCUGCAUCGAUCCUUCUACGGGACUAAACGAAGAGCAGAAAGAGUUCCAGAAAGUGGCGUUCAACUUUGCUGCCCGGGAGAUGGCGCCAAACAUGGCAGAGUGGGACCAGAAGGAGCUGUUCCCAGUGGAUGUGAUGCGGAAGGCAGCCCAGCUGGGCUUUGGGGGGAUUUACGUACGGACAGAUGUAGGAGGGUCUGGACUGUCACGGCUCGACACCUCUGUCAUCUUUGAAGCCUUGGCCACAGGCUGCACCAGCACCACAGCCUACAUAAGCAUCCACAACAUGUGUGCCUGGAUGAUUGAUACCUUUGGAAGUGAGGAACAGAGGCACAGGUUUUGCCCUCCACUCUGUACCAUGGAGAAGUUUGCUUCCUACUGCCUCACUGAACCAGGCAGUGGGAGUGAUGCCGCCUCCCUCUUGACCUCCGCCAAGCGACGAGGAGAUCAUUACGUGCUCAGUGGCUCCAAGGCCUUCAUCAGUGGUGGAGGCGAAGCAGACAUCUAUGUGGUCAUGUGCCGAACAGGAGGACCAGGCCCCAAAGGCAUCUCGUGCAUAGUUGUUGAGAAGGGGACCCCUGGCCUCAGCUUCGGCAAGAAGGAGAGAAAGGUGGGGUGGAACUCACAGCCGACCCGAGCGGUGAUCUUUGAAGACUGUGCUGUCCCUGUGGCCAACAGGAUCGGGGACGAGGGCCAGGGCUUCCUCAUUGCCAUGAGAGGACUGAACGGGGGGAGGAUCAAUGUCGCGUCCUGCUCUCUGGGCGCUGCUUAUGCUUCGGUCAUCCUCACCCGAGACCACCUCAAGGUCCGGAAGCAGUUUGGAGAGCCCCUGGCCAGUAACCAGUACCUGCAGUUCAAACUGGCAGAUAUGGUGGCCAGGCUGGUGGCCUCACGGCUGAUGAUCCGCAACGCAGCCGUGGCUCUGCAGGAGGAACGUGAGGAUGCGGUGGCCCUGUGCUCCAUGGCCAAGCUCUUCGCUACAGACGAAUGCUUUGCGAUCUGCAACCAGGCCCUGCAGAUGCACGGGGGCUACGGCUACCUGAAGGACUGCGCGGUCCAGCAGUACAUGCGGGACUCCAGGGUCCAUCAGAUCCUCGAAGAGACAGCGCAAACGAAGAUAACAUCCGAGAAAGCAUUUUGAAAACUGCAGCAGCGGCUGUUCUUCACUGUUGUAAAAUACUUGGUCCUCAGGGAUCCCAGGACUUCUCCACAGUAACUUCCAGGGUAGAUGUGAGCUAGUUUGACCUCCAGCCUCUACACUCUGAUCAUGACCAUCAGUGUUGCUAAUGGAGCUUUCAGUAAAUUAAUUGUCACACACGGGCAUCUUCUUGCUGAUCACAGGCCCACGGGCAGGAGAUGGGCAGCAACGAAGUGAUGCGGAUACUGAUCUCAAGAAGCCUGCUGCAGGAGUAGCCCCUGGACUGAGGCUCCGAUGGGAGGAUCAGUGUCGAGUGGUUCCAUGUGGAUGGCACUGUCACAGUGAAUCCAGGACGCGCUGGAGGGGCUGUGCUUGUCCAGGGCACCAUCACAGCGUCAGCUGGAGGACGGCAGAGCUGCCCUGGCUGGAACGUUACAAGAAGACGUGCCGCCUUGUUUUCCUGACGCAAAGGGUGACCAGUGAACACUGACCACGAAACCACUGUCCUUUCCUGGAUCCACAGUCUUGAUUUGUCUGCAUUUUGCUGGUUCACCAGAUUCCUCUUCUGGGAAUCUGGGUACUUCUGUUGAGGGUUUUUCCUGACUGUAAAGCAAAGGUGUGGGAAAGGAGAAAUGGAGAGAAAGCGUCUUCCUGUCUUUUUCUGUUCUUUGUGCCUCGGCUGAAGAUGCAGGUUUCUGUGGGCUGCUCUUCCUUUGCAGCAACUCCUCCUCUGAAUGUAAAUCAUGAUGAAAUGAGUGUUUGGAAAUCCUUCUCCUAAGCUGAGAUUUAGGGCGUAUCUGCACUUCUGGACUAUCUGAAUAUCAAGGGCUGAGAUUAUUUGGAACUGUGAAUACUUGUUGUUUUAGAAGCAUGUGGUCUGGGAAUGGUAUUCAAAGUUCCUGUGACAUUUCCUUAUAAGUGCUUUGAGUAUACUUUUUUUCUGAGUUUUUGCUUUUUUGCUCCUCUUUUUAAAUGUUUUUAAUCACUACAUUAAUAAAUCUACCCCUCUCUGUACCAUU